CACAAUCAGCCACACCACCCAUUCUCCAUCCAUUCUUUUAGCCAAACCCAUCUACACAUUCAUACACUACGUCAUAAACACAUUUUCAGCCAUCUUUCUCUCUUUUGCCACACCCCUCAUCCAUCCUAAACACCACCAUACCAUCUCCCAUCCAUUCCUCCAUACAUAUACCAUCCAAACCUGUCCCCAAAACCUUGUGCCGCAGCAAAGAGGAAGGAGGAGAAGCCUUGGACAUGCAUGCCAUUCAAGUUAGGAUCGUUGGAGCGUUUAGGUGUUUUCUUUCUUUUGAUUUCAAUGUUUAAAUUCUAUACUCUUUGUUUUGUACGUAUGAGGAACUAAACCCCCCCUUGGCUAGGGGGAAUUCGAAACCAUGUUUAUGCUUGCUAUAUGAUUUGAUUGCUUUCAAUUGCAUUUCAUAAGUUAUGAAUUCAAUUUACUUAUCUACAUGAAUUAAAACUGAUUUGUGUGUGUUGGUUGAGAGUGCACGCUUAAUUUUCAUGCAUAAGUUUGAUGCUAGGAUAUAAGGGAAUUUCACCUUAUCGUUAUGAACUUAUAUUCAAAAGUAGUAAAGGUUGUUGAUCACAAUCGUGUUAAGUAAAUUCUUGGCAGAAGUUUCAUGCAAUUCAUAGUAACGAGUGCCUCGCCAAUGCUUAAGAUUUUCAUAAAACUUAAUGAUCUUUGCUUGUAUCUUUGUUAUGCAAUUCAUGCAGGGAACUUGUGAGGAAUGCUUUGGGUUGUCGUAUGCAAUUCAUCCAAUUCGAUAACUUUAGGAAAAUCUGAGGGUUAAUUAGUGCAAUUCACGGUUAAUUUGGGGCGUUGGGAAUUCAUGGUUUAUUGAGAAGCAAUUGGAAAUCGUUUUGUAUGCAAGUGUGACAUGUGUGGAGAAAGAACCCCUUAGCUAGCUUU
rnacentral:lncRNA from 1 species